rnacentral:rRNA from 1 species
UACGUAGGGUGCAAGCGUUGUCCGGAAUUAUUGGGCGUAAAGAGCUCGUAGGCGGUCUGUUACGUCGGAUGUGAAAAUCCAGGGCUUAACCCUGGACCUGCAUUCGAUACGGGCAGACUAGAGUUCGGUAGGGGAGACUGGAAUUCCUGGUGUAGCGGUGAAAUGCGCAGAUAUCAGGAGGAACACCGGUGGCGAAGGCGGAUCUCUGGGCCAUUACUGACGCUGAGGAGCGAAAGCGUGGGGAGCGAACAGG